rnacentral:lncRNA from 1 species
UCCCUCUUUUAAUCUGAAUUAGCUUGAAAACCACUUCAACCGUCCUGCCUUCUGAUCAUCUUGUCACCUACCACCCACCUUCUUCAACAAGGCCUGCCGUCACCCUACAACUUGUGACCAUUUUCGGUGUGCUAUAGUUGUUGAGCUGUUUAUUACCAUUUUGUCAUGUCCAGCCUUGCCUUGCCUCACCAAGCCAUGAUACAUUCUUCCUUUUUUUUC